GGGGUUGUGACUUAGAGGUAGAGGGCUUGCCUAGCAUGUGUGAGGCACUGAGUUCAAUCCUCAGCACCACA
rnacentral:tRNA from 1 species